rnacentral:rRNA from 1 species
UACGUAGGGUGCGAGCGUUGUCCGGAAUUAUUGGGCGUAAAGGGCUCGUAGGCGGUCUGUCGCUUCGGGAGUGAAAACUCAGGGCUUAACCCUGAGCCUGCUUCCGAUACGGGCAGACUAGAGGUAUGCAGGGGAGAACGGAAUUCCUGGUGUAGCGGUGAAAUGCGCAGAUAUCAGGAGGAACACCGGUGGCGAAGGCGGUUCUCUGGGACGGUACUGACGCUGAGACGCGAAAGCGUGGGGAGCGAACAGG